AGCGUNUCNGGAAUUANNGGGCNUAAAGAGCUNGUAGGCGGUUUGUCGCNUCUGCUGUGAAAACGCGAGGCUCAACCUCGCGCCUGCAGUGGGUACGGNCAGACUAGAGUGCGGUAGGGGAGAUUGGAAUUCCUGGUGUAGCGGUGGAAUGCGCAGAUAUCAGGAGGAACACCGAUGGCGAAGGCAGAUCUCUGGGCCGUAACUGACGCUGAGGAGCGAAAGCAUGGGGAGCGAACAGGAUUAGAUACCCUGGUAGUCCAUGCCGUAAACGUUGGGAACUAGAUGUGGGGACCAUUCCACGGUCUCCGUGUCGCAGCUAACGCAUUAAGUUCCCCGCCUGGGGAGUACGGCCGCAAGGCUAAAACUCAAAGGAAUUGACGGGGGCCCGCACAAGCGGCGGAGCAUGCGGAUUAAUUCGAUGCAACGCGAAGAACCUUACCAAGGCUUGACAUAUACCGGAAACGUCUGGAAACAGUCGCCCCGCAAGGUCGGUAUACAGGUGGUGCAUGGUUGUCGUCAGCUCGUGUCGUGAGAUGUUGGGUUAAGUCCCGCAACGAGCGCAACCCUCGUUCUAUGUUGCCAGCACGUAAUGGUGGGAACUCAUGGAAGACUGCCGGGGUCAACUCGGAGGAAGGUGGGGAUGACGUCAAAUCAUCAUGCCCCUUAUGUCUUGGGCUUCACGCAUGCUACAAUGGCCGGUACAAAGGGCUGCAAUACCGUAAGGUGGAGCGAAUCCCAAAAAGCCGGUCUCAGUUCGGAUUGAGGUCUGCAACUCGACCUCAUGAAGUCGGAGUCGCUAGUAAUCGCAGAUCAGCAACGCUGCGGUGAAUACGUUCCCGGGCCUUGUACACACCGCCCGUCAAGUCAUGAAAGUCGGUAACACCCGAAGCCAGUGGCCUAACCCUUGUGGANGGAGC
rnacentral:rRNA from 1 species